AUUUGGAGGGUCAUGUAGCUCUUAACACUUCACCCUACCCCUCUAUCUCAACAGAAAUCGGGACACCCUAUCCCUCAGACUGAACGCACAAAACGGAAGGUCGGGAAGAAACAUGAUGAAGGCGAGAGUGAGAAAUCAAAGAGUCCUACAAGCAGAAAAAAUGAUGAGGUUGGAGGAGAUGAUGUUUGUUACGCUUCGCUGGAUCUCCCGAGCAGAAGAGAUAAACGUCUGAAGAAGAAGAGAGUAGAGAGCUCUGAUUUCAGCACAUAUUCUGAGGUUAAAACUGACCAAAUGUAAAACU